rnacentral:rRNA from 1 species
UCGAGCGGGCGUAGCAAUACGUCAGCGGCAGACGGGUGAGUAGCGCGUGGGAACGUACCUUUUGGUUCGGAACAACUGAGGGAAACUUCAGCUAAUACCGGAUAAGCCCUUACGGGGAAAGAUUUAUCGCCGAAAGAUCGGCCCGCGUCUGACUAGCUAGUUGGUGAGGUAACGGCUCACCAAGGCGACGAUCAGUAGCUGGUCUGAGAGGAUGAUCAGCCACAUUGGGACUGAGACACGGCCCAAACUCCUACGGGAGGCAGCAGUGGGGAAUAUUGGACAAUGGGCGAAAGCCUGAUCCAGCCAUGCCGCGUGAGUGAUGAAGGCCCUAGGGUUGUAAAGCUCUUUUGUGCGGGAAGAUAAUGACGGUACCGCAAGAAUAAGCCCCGGCUAACUUCGUGCCAGCAGCCGCGGUAAUACGAAGGGGGCUAGCGUUGCUCGGAAUCACUGGGCGUAAAGGGUGCGUAGGCGGGUCUUUAAGUCAGAGGUGAAAUCCUGGAGCUCAACUCCAGAACUGCCUUUGAUACUGAGGAUCUUGAGUUCGGGAGAGGUGAGUGGAACUGCGAGUGUAGAGGUGAAAUUCGUAGAUAUUCGCAAGAACACCAGUGGCGAAGGCGGCUCACUGGCCCGAUACUGACGCUGAGGCACGAAAGCGUGGGGAGCAAACAGGAUUAGAUGCCCUGGUAGUCCACGCCGUAAACGAUGAAUGCCAGCCGUUGGGGAGUUUACUCUUCAGUGGCGCAGCUAACGCUUUAAGCAUUCCGCCUGGGGAGUACGGUCGCAAGAUUAAAACUCAAAGGAAUUGACGGGGGCCCGCACAAGCGGUGGAGCAUGUGGGUUUAAUUCGACGC